rnacentral:rRNA from 1 species
UACGGAGGGGGCAAGCGUUGUUCGGAAUUACUGGGCGUAAAGCGAGUGUAGGCGGUCCGAUAAGUCGGGUGUGAAAGCCCUGGGCUCAACCCAGGAAGUGCACUCGAAACUGCCGGGCUAGAGUAUCGGAGAGGUUGGUGGAAUUCUCGGUGUAGAGGUGAAAUUCGUAGAUAUCGAGAGGAACACCGGUGGCGAAGGCGGCCAACUGGACGAAUACUGACGCUGAGACUCGAAAGCGUGGGGAGCAAACAGG